CCCCUCUCAGGGUUGCAUCUGGAGAGUUUCCAGUACUCUACCAGUCUCUAUUAUGGGAAGGAGAGUCAAGCAGAGGCAUUUCCAUUCUUAGCCUGGGCAGUGGCUAGCAAGUGGAAGGCAAUCUGCUACAAGU